GACGAACCGUGCGAACGUUGUUCGGAAUCACUGGGCUUAAGGGGCGCGUAGGCGGACUGCCAAGUCCGGGGUGAAAUCCUCCGGCUUAACCGGAGAAUUGCCUGGGAUACUGGCGGUCUUGAGGGAGGUAGGGGCACGCGGAACUUCCGGUGGAGCGGUGAAAUGCGUUGAUAUCGGAAGGAACGCCGGUGGCGAAAGCGGCGUGCUGGCCCUCUUCUGACGCUGAGGCGCGAAAGCCAGGGGAGCGAACGGG
rnacentral:rRNA from 1 species